rnacentral:rRNA from 1 species
GACGAACGCUGGCGGCGUGCUUAACACAUGCAAGUCGAACGGAAAGGCCUCACUUGUGGGGUGCUCGAGUGGCGAACGGGUGAGUAACACGUGGGUGAUCUGCCCCUGACUUUGGGAUAAGCCUGGGAAACUGGGUCUAAUACCGGAUAUGACCAAGGACUGCAUGGUUUUUGGUGGAAAGCUUUUGUGGUCAGGGUUGGGCCCGCGGCCUAUCAGUUUGUUGGUGGGGUAAUGGCCUACCAAGGCGACGACGGGUAGCCGACCUGAGAGGGUGAUCGGCCACACUGGGACUGAGACACGGCCCAGACUCCUACGGGAGGCAGCAGUGGGGAAUAUUGCACAAUGGGCGGAAGCCUGAUGCAGCGACGCCGCGUGAGGGAUGACGGCCUUCGGGUUGUAAACCUCUUUCACCUCCGACGAAGUGUGAGUGACGGUAGGGGGAGAAGAAGCACCGGCCAACUACGUGCCAGCCGCCGCAGUAAAAC